CACAAUUGAUCUAUAGUUAUGCCGUCUAUUUUAAAUAAUGUAUCACAUGCUUUGAUGGCAGUGGUGCGUGCUACCUCACUGUCUGAGGUGUUGUAAUACUCUGAUGACUCUCACUUGCUGGGAGCCACACAAAAGGCUGACCAAGCGACAAGGUUCUCACUGGCCUCGGUCGUGUUCAGCUCCCUCCCCCCGACUCCCACAUCUCUGCACAUCAAUACAGCUGGGCCAGCCUGCACUGCAGCCGUUAUAUAAUGAUGCUCCUGCCAACAAACGCUCAUAGAGACAGCCCAUUUACCAAAGAAUAGUCAGGAUUAAUUAGGAGAUGACACACCUCUAAUAUGUGUGUGUGUGUGUGUGUGUGUGUGUGUGUGGCAACAGAAGCAGAAAAAGGAAAAGAUAAGGCAAUGCUUAAAGUCCAGGGGAUUUAUUAAGAUCUUAAAUAUGCUAUCAGAAAAAAAAUAUGUGUUUAAGUGUUAAUAAACUGUGCUAUCUCAUGCUAAAUUAACCAUUUUUUAAUGUAUAUUGGGAUACAUUUAUUCUUGAUAAAUUGCUGUUUUUUAUAUAAAUAUAUGAAUUGAAUUUUAUUAUUAUUUAAGCAGUUGUUUAUUACUUUUUAAAAGGGGAGAAUAUGAUGGUAACAUGGUUGGUGCACAACCUGGGGUCACAACACGAGGCUGGUAAUGGGUUAAGAAGAAACGUUUCACUGCUUUUCUGGCUUGUCCUAGAUGCCAACGGAGGACCGUGCAGACCUACAUGAUAUGUUUCUCAUGUAUGUGAAUCCCCAUCAGGACCAUCUGCCAGUACUUGGACAUGAUUCAUUACAUAUAAAGGUGAUAUUAAAGCAGAUGUUAGGUGAGUUAACUUCAGCUUCAAUUUUUGACAGAUCAGCAGUCUCAAGGUCAGAAGCUGCACUCAAGUCAAAGGCAGAUCUGAGACCCAAACAAGUUUAUUUAAGAUUAGUAAAAUCUAUCAAUAUUACAUCUCUUGUUAAUGCAAUUAUAAAAAUAAUGUGCAUAAUCAGUUCUCCCGAAACAUAUAAUGUCUAAUUUACAUUUUAUUGGCCUAAAAGCUGUAGCAGUUUAACUGCCACAGCUUCUCCAUUGUAAUAAAAAACAAAUUGUCAGUUUCAGUUUUAGACAUGGUAUUAUUUUAUGACUGUAAAAUUAUUUUAUUUUAUUUUUAAGAUUUGGCCCUUGAUUGCAUUCACAGGGGAGCUCUCGUCACUGAAUACGCUUCUUAGUGUGGGUGGAGAAGAAGAAGGGAAGAAGAUUAUUUUAUUAUACAAUACGCAUUUUAUUCAUUCACAUUCAAGAACUUCAUAUGCAUUAUUUCACAUGGCCAGGCUAAUACAAACUAAAAGGCAUUGACAAUACAAUAAACUGUGUGUGUGUGUGUGUGUGUAUUAUAUAAGUAAAAUUACACUAUUUUCAGAGUAAAAGCUGUUAUAAUUCAGUUAUUUUAUAAUAUAUUCUUACAUUAUAUGGCAGAAAUGAAUUUGCUCUGGAACCAAACGAUGGUGAUUUGACUCAAUAAAAGCCAAAUGUCUAAAAUAAUUAUUAUACAAUCAUAGAUUAUCUCAUUCAGAGUGCCUAGAGGCUGUCACAGUGUCUGUCAUAAUUUUCCUCCCCUUGUUUUGCACCAGCCAGCACAGAAAGACUCUGCAGAGGAACAGUCUGUACACCCAUUGCAUGCUCCUCGAACACAGACACACAAAACACACAAGACACUGCAGGCGCGACAGGAGAUGAGCUGUUCAGAAGGCUUAAUUAAUGAGGGCGAAACAUCUGCAUACCAGCAUAUGUACCAGCAUGAUGAUCGCUUCAUCUCACUACAUGACAAUCAGGAUGUAUUAACCAGGCAAGACCUAACAUAUGGUGUAUGUAAUAGACACAUCCUGUCAGCAUGGUCAAACAUAUUCAUUAAUGCCACUUAGCGUUAUGAGACAGACAGUGGAUGGAAACAGAUGAACUGCACUGGAACUGCGCUGCACUGCUGCAGUGGCCCCUUUGAGCGAAUAACCAUCAUUGAUGGUAAUUGAUAGCAACAUGUCCAGUAAUUGUACUACAUACUUGGCAGCUAUUUGGUGGACACUAAUUUCCACAGUGUGUUUUGGUCUAUUGGAUAAUAGCAGGUGCCUUUAUUAACAAGCCUGGAGAAUAAACAAUUAAUUAGGGUGGAACCUGAAACCUGAAGAAGGGCUUUCAGCCAAGCCCUGUCACAGUAUACAAAUCUAGGCUUGAUACUAAUUAAAUCAACAAAUCAUCACAAAUAUUUUGAAUAAGAUGUAAACUGUAUAUAUAUACUGUAUAUCCUUCAGAAUGAUUCCUUACAAUAAGACAUCAAAUUAAAAAUAUAAUAAACGUGUGUAUAUGAAUAACAUUACAAUUUUUUUUUUUUUUUAAUUUUUAUUUUACAUUUCUUAUAUAUCGUAUUUCAGAAUAUAUAUAUAUAUAUGUGUGUGUGUGUGUGUGUGUGUCUAAACCUAUUAUAUAACUUUAGUUUUAGAAAAAGAAAAAAAAAAUAGAUAAAAAGAAAUGAAUAAAAAACAACCCCAUGCUCUAUGAAUAACAAAAAUAAUUAAAAUUACAUGAAAUAA
rnacentral:lncRNA from 1 species